AGGGCUGGGCGGGACACCGGGCUUCUGAAUUCCCACGGGAUAUAGGAAUCUUUGAUAGUUCAGGAGCGAUUGUGCGUUGAUUCCCCCAGCGAUUUUAGAGAAAUUACUCCGUGUUGGGCUCUGUGCUAGGCACAGCACGGGGAGAUGAUGUGGAGCUCGCUCCAGCCGAGAGAUUUUGGCGUACCGAAGGCGGGCAGGUUGAUGUCUAAGGAACGGAUGGAAGGUCGUGGGCCUGAGGAAGGCCAGUGUCAGCCAGAUCCCACCAGGACUGCUAGAGGCUGUUGUGGACCCCGGAUGAUUCCUCUGGCUUUGGAGAAGGAUUGUAAAAGAGGAAGCAGAGAGAUCAGAUAAGAGGCUAUCUUGGAGGAAUCCAGGUGAGAGGGAAGAGAAACCAUCUGCCAAGGAGGAACCUUACACACAGACUGGAGGCUUCUGAAACAGCAGUCUCCAGGGCAGAGAACCACAGACACGCUGUGAAACGCCCAACUUCAUGACCAGGACAAGGUGUACGCAUCGCAGUCUAAAAGCCAGAGUCACGCAUAAUGAGAAAACCUAAAUUAUUCCCAUUAAAGUUAGAUAUGCCACAGGGAUGGCCCCUGUGACAAUUUUUAUUUAAUAUUGCUUUGGACGUACCAGCCUACUUAACUACAGAAGAGAAAGAAACGAGGUCAAAAAACUGGAAAAGAGGUCAAAUUAUCAUUAUUUAUUUAUGAAAUGAUAACCUACCUGGAAAAUCCAAAGACAGCAACUGCAAAACUGAUACAAAUAAGACAUUUUAGCAAAGUAGGUACAAGUUAAUAUACAAAAAGCCAGUGAACAACACCCAAUUAGAAAAUAUAGGGGAAUAAAAUAUAUCCUUUACAAUAGCAACAACAAAGUGAACUAACCAAGAGUAAUCUUAAUGUGCUAGAUCUAGGUGCCCCAAAACUAAAAUGCUAGCAAAGAACACAAAAGGAGGCUUGAAUAAAUGGAAAGGCAUAUUCUAUUUUGGGGUAGAAAGACUCACUACCAUAAAGAUGUCAGCUCUCCAUAAAUUAAUCUAUAAAUUUAACACAAUCUAAUAAAAAUACCAACAGACUACAUAAUCUGAAUAUAAAGUUCAUAUGGAAAUCUCUGCAUCAUGAAUAGCCAUGAACAUUCUGAAAAAGGUUAGUGAGAGAAAUAGUUCUACCUGAUAUAAAAUCAUUAAAAGCUACAAUAAUUAAAAUAGUAAAAUCCAGGGGAUACUAACACAUAAAUAGGCAAUUUGAUCCAGAGAAGCAAAUAGAGAAUCCAGAAAUAGACUCAAGACAUUUAAAAUGUUAGUGUAUGGUAAAGAUGGCAUUGUCUAUCAGCAGGGGAAAAUGGAUUAUCCAAUAAGUGGUAUCAAAACAAUUGUGUAACUGCCUGAAAAAAAAAAAUAAUGUAUCUCUGCCUUGGUUUUUACACUAAAAUAAAUCCGUACGAAUCAAUUGUGUUUAAAUAAAUGUAAAAGGAUACAGCCAUAGAUGUAUAAUGUCAUAGUGGGGAAAGCAUUUGUCAGAAUAGCAUAAAAUUUCCCAAAGCAUAAAAAAAAAGACAAAUUCUGUCAACAUGAAAAUCUAUAAUUUCUGCAGAGUAAAAAACCACCAUAAAUAAAGACAAAUGGUACACAGGGGGAAGUAUCUGCAACUCGUAUCAUAGACAAAGGGACUAAUUUGCUUAAUAUAUACAAAAUCCCCUCAAAUCAAUAUGAAAAAGAACAAAAAUCCAAUAAGAAAAUGGGAGGUUAACAUAAAAGGAAAGAUAAAUGGCUCUUAGACAUAUGGAAAAAUAGUCAACCUCACAAGAAAAUUGAAACUACAUUUAGAUAUCAUUUUCAAGCUACAGAUUGGCAAAAAAUCCAAACAUCUGAUAAUAUACCCCUGGCAUUGUUGUGGGGAAAUAGGCCCUCUUAUGUGUUACUGGCAGAACUGUAAAUUGUUGAUACUUGUCAAAAUUAAAAAUGCAUAUAAUUUCUGAUCCCAUAUACUUGCACACAUACAAGAUGAAGUAUGUACAGAGUUAUCAACUAUAGCAUUGUUUAAGAGUAGCGAAAGUUUACAAACAACUCAAACAUCUAUCACUAGAAGACUAGUUAAAUAAGUUAUGGCGUUGGGGUGCCUGGGUGGCUUAGUCAGUUAAGCAUCUGCUUUGGCUCAGGUCAUGGUCCCAGGGUCCUGGGAUCAAGCCCCACCUUGGGCUCUCUACUUGUCGGGGAGCCUGCUUCUCCGUCUCCCUCUGCCUACCACUGCCUACUUGUGCUCUCUCACUCUGUCAAAUAAAUAAAUAAAAUCCUUAACAGUAACAACAACAAAGUUAUGGCCCAUCCAUACAAUAUCAUACAGCCAGGCUGAGGAGCUGUCACAAAAAUCUUUGCAGGCCAUGAUUAAACCCAUGAAGAGCCAUUAAAGAGUUUGUAUGCAGGGGUAUGGUAUAAGAUCUGGAUUUGAGAAAGAUCUCUGGCCUAGUACGGAACACAGAUUGCAAGAGUAAUACUAUAGACAGGGAGGUCAGCCAGUGGCCUCAACUAGGGUGGUCACCAAAGACAAGACAUAGAAAAUGUAGACUGGAUAGGGCUUGGGGAUAGACUGGGUGUAGAGGCGCAAGAGAUGAGGCACUGAUGAUACCCCAGUCUCCAGCUUUGGGGGUAGAUAGAGAGUAGUGGUUAUACACUGAGAUAGGGAGAGCAAGUGGAGAAGUUGGUUUGAUUGGGAAGGAAAGAUGAGUUUUAUUUGGAUGACUUGAGGUAGAGGUUUUAGUGGGCAACCAGCUGACACAUUCAGUCGGGUGUUUGGAUAUACAGCUCUAGGACUCAGGAGAGAGACUGGAAUUACGGAUAAGUUUGGGAGUCGUGAUCAUAUAGUUGAUGUUCAAGGCCAUAGGAGAGGAUAAAGUCAUUUGGGGACAUCCUGUGGCAUGAGGAAAGGAGAGAGUCCAGGUACUGGAGCAACCCACAGAGUAUGCUGGCAGAAGACAAUGAGUUUCUAGAGGAGCCACAGGAGUAUAGGGAACAUAGGAGGGAAACCAAAUAUCACAGGACAGAAGUCAAGGGAAGAAUGUAGAAGCAUUUUCGUGGUCUGUGUCUCUUACUUGAUUAUAAUAUCCUUGACAUAAACUGGGUUUUAUUUUUCUUUGUUCCCUCCCUGUCUGUUCCAUCCCUAUCUUCAAUCAGUACAAGGUCUGUGAACAGUUAAGGGCAUGAAUGAGUAAAUCCAAUCAAAGCUGGUUUUCAUACUGCUUGGGUUGAAACCUUCGUUGUUGCUCCCCUAGUUGGGUUUCCCUGCAUCCACUGUGUAAUGUCUCCACAUUGCCACAGCUGCCUCUCGAAAGCAAGAUCUGCAACUACCACUCCUUGCCUUGAAAAUCAUCAGCUUGGCCUUCAAGCCCAUCCAGACUGAAUCCCAGUUUAGCUUAGCUCCUACAACAUCUGGCUUCUACCCAACGAACCACAGCCACAGGGACUACUUUCCGGCCCGUAACAUGGUCUAAGUAAGCUUACAGUGUUCUGUUCCCUUGGAUUCCCCCCGAUUCCCCCACUCCUGCCACCCGUGGCAGACCUUUACUUUCCAGACCUUUACUGCAAGAGCAUCUCCUUCCCCUGUUGUCCAUUUUACUUUGCACCUGUAUUACUGUAUCACUUGCCCUGAACUGUGUUUGUUGUAUGUGCCAGCUCCCCACUAUUUGCUACUCUGUCUCCACACUGGAGUGUGAAGAGGGAUUGUGUCUCAAGGUCAUCAUUACCCAUCCAGCACUCAGGGCAGUACACUCAGUACUUGCUGAAUGAGUGAUAGAUGGAUGAGUGGAUGGUAAGUCCUUGGUGCAGUACAAGGACCUGAUUCUAUUUGAGCAUGCCAGUGCUUUGCAUAUGGUCUGUAUCCUGUGUUUGCAGUAAGAUCCUUGGAAAUUUGUUUUAUUCACUUUUAUACCCUCACUGCCUAGUGUAGAGCACAGCCCCACAGUAGGUGCUCGAUAAGUGUUUGAGGACUCAAUAAAUAAUUACUCAUUUAAUUUG